rnacentral:rRNA from 1 species
GACAGAGGUCCCGAGCGUUGUUCGGAUUCAUUGGGCGUAAAGGGUGUGUAGGAGGUGGGGUAAGUCAGGUGUGAAAUCUCAGAGCUUAACUCUGAAACUGCGCUUGAUACUGCUCCGCUAGAGGAUCGGAGGGGGUAACGGAAUUUAUGGUGUAGCAGUGAAAUGCGUAGAUAUCAUAAGGAACACCGGUGGCGAAGGCGGUUACCUGGAAGAUUCCUGACUCUGAAACACGAAAGCCAGGGGAGCAAACGGG